rnacentral:siRNA from 1 species
GAUAGUUAGUGCGUAAACUUUUUC